rnacentral:rRNA from 1 species
CGCAUCUGUGCAUGCAGCAUAUCAAUAAGCGGAGGAAAAGAAACUAACAAGGAUUCCCCUAGUAACGGCGAGUGAAGCGGGAAGAGCUCAAAUUUGAAAUCUUAAAGAGUUUCCCUUUACGAAUUGUAGUUUAAAGAAGUGUUUUCUGUUGAGGUUUUGGUAAAAGUUCUUUGGAAUAGGACAUCAUAGAGGGUGAGAAUCCCGUAUUUGACCUUUACUUUCAACUUUGUGAUACACUUUCAGAGAGUCGGAUUGUUUGGGAAUGCAGUCCAAAAUGGGUGGUAAAUUUCAUCUAAAGCUAAAUAUUGGCGAGAGACCGAUAGCGAACAAGUACCGUGAGGGAAAGAUGAAAAGAACUUUGAAAAGAGAGUUAAACAGUACGUGAAAUUGUCAAAAGGGAAGCGUUUGACACCAGUGUUGUUUUUCUGAAAAUCAAUUAAAGAACUGUUUAUGCUAAGCUGUUUAGACUUUAUCAGCUAUCUGUUUAGUUUUAGGCUUUUCUUUAAUGCACUUUUCAGCUAACAAGUCAACAUCAAUUUCUUUUGCUGUAAAAAAGCUUGAGGAAGGUGGCUUGAGAUUCGUCUUAAGUGUUAUAGCCUCUUGCCUAUGCAGUCGGAGAGAUUGAGGUCUGCAGCGUAGAUCCUUCGGGGCUAAAUGCAUUUGUGCUAAGUUAUAGCAUUUUAUAGACAACUUGUUGACUAUGAUUUGUCUUGUAGCUUACUCGCUUAUGUUAUUUUACCUACGCUUAGGAUGUUGAACGCGCACAGAGUCUC